rnacentral:rRNA from 1 species
UACGUAGGGGGCAAGCGUUGUCCGGAUUUAUUGGGCGUAAAGAGCGUGUAGGCGGCUUUACAGGUCCGUUGUGAAAACUCGAGGCUCAACCUCGAGACGCCGGUGGAAACCGUAAAGCUAGAGUCCGGAAGAGGAGAGUGGAAUUCCUGGUGUAGCGGUGAAAUGCGCAGAUAUCAGGAAGAACACCCGUGGCGAAGGCGGCUCUCUGGGACGGUACUGACGCUGAGGCGCGAAAGCCAGGGGAGCAAACGGG